UAAGUCUCUACGUUUACUUGUUGUGUUGUCAUACCUUGAGCAUGAGGAUGAAACAGGUAGAGUGGAUUCUGUGAAGUCAAAGCUGGGAUCAUUCUUCUUCCGAGCUUGGUCACUGAUGAAUCUUGAGCAUAGGAUAUUAGAGGUCAAAACGAAAUGCUCUCACCAGCUCUGAG